rnacentral:rRNA from 1 species
CCUACGGGAGGCAGCAGUAGGGAAUCUUUCACAAUGGGCGAAAGCCUGAUGGAGCAACGCCGCGUGCAGGAUGAAGGCCUUCGGGUUGUAAACUGCUUUUAUAAGCGAGAAAUAUGAUGGUAACUUAUGAAUAAGGAUCGGCUAACUACGUGCCAGCAGCCGCGGUCAUACGUAGGAUCCGAGCAUUAUCCGGAGUGACUGGGUGUAAAGAGUUGCGUAGGUGGCAUAAUAAGUAGCUAGUGAAAUCUGGUGGCUCAACCAUUCAGACUAUUAGCUAAACUGUUAAGCUCGAGACCGUUAGGGGUAACUGGAAUUUCUAGUGUAGGGGUGAAAUCCGUAGAUAUUAGAAGGAACACCAAUAGCGUAGGCAGGUUGCUGGGACGGUUCUGACACUAAGGCACGAAAGCGUAGGGAGCAAACGGGAUUAGAUACCCCAGUAGUC